rnacentral:rRNA from 1 species
GACGAACGCUGGCGGCGUGCUUAACACAUGCAAGUCGAACGGAAAGGCCCUGCUUUUGUGGGGUGCUCGAGUGGCGAACGGGUGAGUAACACGUGAGUAACCUGCCCUUGACUUUGGGAUAACUUCAGGAAACUGGGGCUAAUACCGGAUAGGAGCUCCUGCUGCAUGGUGGGGGUUGGAAAGUUUCGGCGGUUGGGGAUGGACUCGCGGCUUAUCAGCUUGUUGGUGGGGUAGUGGCUUACCAAGGCUUUGACGGGUAGCCGGCCUGAGAGGGUGACCGGCCACAUUGGGACUGAGAUACGGCCCAGACUCCUACGGGAGGCAGCAGUGGGGAGUAUUGCACAAUGGGCGAAAGCCUGAUGCAGCAACGCCGCGUGCGGGAUGACGGCCUUCGGGUUGUAAACCGCUUUCGCCUGUGACGAAGCGUGAGUGACGGUAAUGGGUAAAGAAGCACCGGCUAACUACGUG